GGACUGCGGAGGGAUCAUUACASWMAUAUGAAGGCGGGCUGGAACCUCUCGGGGUUACAGCCUUGCUGAAUUAUUCACCCUUGUCUUUUGCGUACUUCUUGUUUCCUUGGUGGGUUCGCCCACCACUAGGACAAACAUAAACCUUUUGUAAUUGCAAUCAGCGUCAGUAACAAAUUAAUAAUUACAACUUUCAACAACGGAUCUCUUGGUUCUGGCAUCGAUGAAGAACGCAGCGAAAUGCGAUAAGUAGUGUGAAUUGCAGAAUUCAGUGAAUCAUCGAAUCUUUGAACGCACAUUGCGCCCUUUGGUAUUCCAAAGGGCAUGCCUGUUCGAGCGUCAUUUGUACCCUCAAGCUUUGCUUGGUGUUGGGCGUCUUGUCUCUAGCUUUGCUGGAGACUCGCCUUAAAGUAAUUGGCAGCCGGCCUACUGGUUUCGGAGCGCAGCACAAGUCGCACUCUCUAUCAGCAAAGGUCUAGCAUCCAUUAAGCCUUUUUUUCAACUUUUGACCUCGGAUCAGGUAGGGAUACCCGCKGAWCUUAAGCAUAUCAUAACCG
rnacentral:rRNA from 1 species